CCCUUAGAUGUUCUGGGCUGCACGCGUGCUACACUGAUAUUGCCAAUAUGUCAUUCUUAUCCGAAAUGGAUUGGGUAAUCAAGUAAUGAAAUUUCAUGCUUGGAAUCGGUAAUUGCAAUUUUAUCGUGAACGAGGAAUUCCUAGUAAGCACUAGUCAUCAGCUAAUGUUGAUUAUGUCCCUGCCCUUUGUACACACCGCCCGUCGCUACUACUGAUUGGGUGUUCAAGUGAGAUGCUUAGACCCUUGUUGCAUGGUUCAUUAUUGUGCUCCGAAAGGAAAAAGUUUCAAGCUUGAGUGUCUAGAGGAAGUAAAAGUCGUAACAA
rnacentral:rRNA from 1 species